UACGUAGGGUGCAAGCGUUAAUCGGAAUUACUGGGCGUAAAGCGUGCGCAGGCGGUUUUGUAAGUCUGACGUGAAAUCCCCGGGCUUAACCUGGGAAUUGCGUUGGAGACUGCAAGGCUGGAGUCUGGCAGAGGGGGGGUAGAAUUCCACGUGUAGCAGUGAAAUGCGUAGAGAUGUGGAGAACACCGAUGGCGAAGGCAGCCCCCUGGGUCAAGACUGACGCUCAUGCACGAAAGCGUGGGGAGCAAACAGG
rnacentral:rRNA from 1 species